rnacentral:rRNA from 1 species
GAUGAACGCUGGCGGCGUGCCUAAUACAUGCAAGUCGAGCGAACAGACGAGGAGCUUGCUCCUCUGACGUUAGCGGCGGACGGGUGAGUAACACGUGGAUAACCUACCUAUAAGACUGGGAUAACUUCGGGAAACCGGAGCUAAUACCGGAUAAUAUAUUGAACCGCAUGGUUCGAUAGUGAAAGACGGUUUUGCUGUCACUUAUAGAUGGAUCCGCGCCGCAUUAGCUAGUUGGUAAGGUAACGGCUUACCAAGGCAACGAUGCGUAGCCGACCUGAGAGGGUGAUCGGCCACACUGGAACUGAGACACGGUCCAGACUCUUACGGGAGGCAGCAGUAGGGAAUCUUCCGCAAUGGGCGAAAGCCUGACGGAGCAACGCCGCGUGAGUGAUGAAGGUCUUCGGAUCGUAAAACUCUGUUAUUAGGGAAGAACAAAUGUGUAAGUAACUAUGCACGUCUUGACGGUACCUAAUCAGAAAGCCACGGCUAACUACGUG